rnacentral:rRNA from 1 species
GAUGAACGCUGGCGGCGUGCCUAAUACAUGCAAGUCGAGCGAAUGGAUUAAGAGCUUGCUCUUAUGAAGUUAGCGGCGGACGGGUGAGUAACACGUGGGUAACCUGCCCAUAAGACUGGGAUAACUCCGGGAAACCGGGGCUAAUACCGGAUAACAUUUUGAACCGCAUGGUUCGAAAUUGAAAGGCGGCUUCGGCUGUCACUUAUGGAUGGACACGCGUCGCAUUAGCUAGUCGGUGAGGUAACGGCUCACCAAGGCAACGAUGCGGAGCCGACCGGAGAGGGGAAUCGGCCACACUGGGACUAGGACACGGCACAGACGCCUACGGGAGGCAGCAGUAGGGAAUCUUCCGCAAUGGACGAAAGUCUGACGGAGCAACGCCGCGUGAGUGAUGAAGGCUUUCGGGUCGUAAAACUCUGUUGUUAGGGAAGAACAAAUGCUAGUUGAAUAAGCUGGCACCUUGACGGUACCUAACCAGAAAGCCACGGCUAACUACGUGCCAGCCGCCGCAGUAA